rnacentral:rRNA from 1 species
GCUCAGGACGAACGCUGGCGGCGUGCUUAACACAUGCAAGUCGAACGAUGAUGCCCAGCUUGCUGGGUGGAUUAGUGGCGAACGGGUGAGUAACACGUGAGUAACCUGCCCCUGACUCUGGGAUAAGCGUUGGAAACGACGUCUAAUACUGGAUAUGAUCACUGGCCGCAUGGUCUGGUGGUGGAAAGAUUUUUUGGUUGGGGAUGGACUCGCGGCCUAUCAGCUUGUUGGUGAGGUAAUGGCUCACCAAGGCGACGACGGGUAGCCGGCCUGAGAGGGUGACCGGCCACACUGGGACUGAGACACGGCCCAGACUCCUACGGGAGGCAGCAGUGGGGAAUAUUGCACAAUGGGCGAAAGCCUGAUGCAGCAACGCCGCGUGAGGGAUGACGGCCUUCGGGUUGUAAACCUCUUUUAGUAGGGAAGAAGCGAAAGUGACGGUACCUGCAGAAAAAGCACCGGCUAACUACGUGCCAGCAGCCGCGGUAAUACGUAGGGUGCAAGCGUUGUCCGGAAUUAUUGGGCGUAAAGAGCUCGUAGGCGGUUUGUCGCGUCUGCUGUGAAAUCCCGAGGCUCAACCUCGGGCUUGCAGUGGGUACGGGCAGACUAGAGUGCGGUAGGGGAGAUUGGAAUUCCUGGUGUAGCGGUGGAAUGCGCAGAUAUCAGGAGGAACACCGAUGGCGAAGGCAGAUCUCUGGGCCGUAACUGACGCUGAGGAGCGAAAGCAUGGGGAGCGAACAGGAUUAGAUACCCUGGUAGUCCAUGCCGUAAACGUUGGGCGCUAGAUGUAGGGACCUUUCCACGGUUUCUGUGUCGUAGCUAACGCAUUAAGCGCCCCGCCUGGGGAGUACGGCCGCAAGGCUAAAACUCAAAGGAAUUGACGGGGGCCCGCACAAGCGGCGGAGCAUGCGGAUUAAUUCGAUGCAACGCGAAGAACCUUACCAAGGCUUGACAUACACCGGAAACGGCCAGAGAUGGUCGCCCCCUUGUGGUCGGUGUACAGGUGGUGCAUGGUUGUCGUCAGCUCGUGUCGUGA